GUGUCAGCAGCCGCGGUAAUACAGAGGUCUCGAGCGUUGUUCGGAUUCAUUGGGCGUAAAGGGUGCGUAGGCGGCGAGGCAAGUCUGAUGUGAAAUCCCGGGGCUCAACUCCGGAACUGCAUUGGAUACUGCCUUGCUCGAGUACUGGAGAGGAGACUGGAAUUUACGGUGUAGCAGUGAAAUGCGUAGAGAUCGUAAGGAAGACCAGUGGCGAAGGCGAGUCUCUGGACAGUUACUGACGCUGAGGCACGAAGGCCAGGGGAGCAAACGGGAUUAGAUACCCCCGUAGUCC
rnacentral:rRNA from 1 species